rnacentral:tRNA from 1 species
GACUGCAUAGUGCAAUGGGUUCUAGUGCAUUUGACUUUAGAUCAAAAGGUCUUGUGUUCAACUCCCAUUGUGGUCG